UAGGGAAUCUUCCACAAUGGACGCAAGUCUGAUGGAGCAACGCCGCGUGAGUGAAGAAGGGUUUCGGCUCGUAAAGCUCUGUUGGUAGUGAAGAAAGAUAGAGGUAGUAACUGGCCUUUAUUUGACGGUAAUUACUUAGAAAGUCACGGCUAACUACGUGCCAGCAGCCGCGGUAAUACGUAGGUGGCAAGCGUUGUCCGGAUUUAUUGGGCGUAAAGCGAGUGCAGGCGGUUCAAUAAGUCUGAUGUGAAAGCCUUCGGCUCAACCGGAGAAUUGCAUCAGAAACUGUUGAACUUGAGUGCAGAAGAGGAGAGUGGAACUCCAUGUGUAGCGGUGGAAUGCGUAGAUAUAUGGAAGAACACCAGUGGCGAAGGCGGCUCUCUGGUCUGCAACUGACGCUGAGGCUCGAAAGCAUGGGUAGCGAACAGGAUUAGAUACCCUGGUAGUCCAUGCCGUAAACGAUGAGUGCUAAAGUGUUGGGAGGUUUUCCGCCUCUCAGUGCUGCAGCUAAACGCAUUAAGCACUCCGCCUGGGGAGUACGACCGCAAGGUUG
rnacentral:rRNA from 1 species